UGAGGAAUAUUGGUCAAUGGGCGAGAGCCUGAACCAGCCAAGUAGCGUGCAGGACGACGGCCCUAUGGGUUGUAAACUGCUUUUAUGUGGGGAUAAAGUGCGUGACGUGUCAUGCAUUGCAGGUACCACAUGAAUAAGGACCGGCUAAUUCCGUGCCAGCAGCCGCGGUAAUACGGAAGGUCCGGGCGUUAUCCGGAUUUAUUGGGUUUAAAGGGAGCGUAGGCUGUCUAUUAAGCGUGUUGUGAAAUUUACCGGCUCAACCGGUGGCUUGCAGCGCGAACUGGUCGACUUGAGUAUGCAGGAAGUAGGCGGAAUUCAUGGUGUAGCGGUGAAAUGCUUAGAUAUCAUGACGAACUCCGAUUGCGCAGGCAGCUUAUUGUAGCAUAACUGACGCUGAUGCUCGAAAGUGCGGGUAUCAAACAGG
rnacentral:rRNA from 1 species